rnacentral:rRNA from 1 species
GUCCACGCCCUAAACGAUGGAUACUAGAUAUGCGGCCUUGUGUUGCGUGUCCAAGCUAAAGCGAUAAGUAUCCCACCUGGGGAGUACGCUCGCAAGGGUGAAACUCAAAGGAAUUGACGGGGGCCCGCACAAGCGGAGGAGCAUGUGGUUUAAUUCGAUGGUACGCGAGGAACCUUACCUAGGCUAAAUCUGAGUGAAGUAUGCAGAAAUGUGUGCGUCCGCAAGGACACAAAAAGAAGGUGCUGCAUGGCUGUCGU